rnacentral:lncRNA from 1 species
CAGGAUUGAUUUCUGGGUGCUUCUCAUUUUCCUUGUUGUUUGGAGUAUUAAUAUAUUUUUUCAUACUAUUUGAUGGCGUGGAUUUAUGCCUUCACAUAGUGAUAGUAUGUGUUUGCAGAUCCCACCUGCUGCCACUGAGGGAAGGUCAGGAGCUGUGUAUUCUGGUGCCUGUGCCUGUCCUUUGGAAUCUAUGCUGACAGGGCCUGUGUGUGAUUGCCUUUUCACAGCUGCUGCUUUUCUAAGGGAGGAGAGUCUGAGGCAAGAGCUCACUCUUAUCGUGAUGCUGAUGUCACUCUGCUGUUGCUUUUGAUUUAAGGAAGAAAUCAAAAGGAGGGAAUUGCCAUUUCAAUUAAUCCCCACAAUAUCUUAUAAGAUUGUUAUACAGAUAUGUUUAGUUAAACAAGUACUUGUGUCUGCUUUGUGCCAUGUGAGAUGCCACCUCAGCAUGCCUUGAUGAGUGGUGCCAUGUCCAUGCCCAGGAUCCGAACCAGUACAACCCUGGGCCACCAGUGUGGAGCGUGCAAACUUAACCACUUGGCCACGGGGCUGGCCCCUCAAAUGAUAUUAUAUCACUUCAGGUAUAGUACAGGAACCUUACAAUAGCAUACUUCCGUUCUUCCUUCCCAGCACUUACAUUGUUGUUGUCAUACAUUUUAUACACACACACACACACACACACACACACACACACACACAGAUGGUCCCCGACUUACAAUGGUUCAACUUAUGAUUUUUUGACUUUACCAUGCCGUGAAAGUGAUACGCAUUCAGUAGAAAUGGAACUUUGAACUUUGAUCUUUUCCCAGACCAGCAAUAUGUGGUAGAUACUCUUUCAUGAUGCUGGACAGUAGCAGUGAGCCGCAGCUCUCAGUCAGCCACUCGAUCUUGAGGGUAAACAACCUAUACACUCACAACUGUUCUGUACCCACAUAACCAUUCUAUUUUUCACUUCCAGUACAGUAAUCGAAUAAAUUACAUGAAAUAUUCAGCAGUUUAUUUUAAAAUAGGGUUUUGUUAGAUGAUUUGCCCAACUUUAGUCUAAAGUAAGUGUUCUGAACAUAUUAAGGUAGGCUAGACUGUAAUAUUUGGUAGGUUAGGUGUAUUAAAUGCAUUUUUGACUUAGGACCUUUUCAACUUAUGAUGGGUUUAUUGGGAUGUAACACCAUUGUAAGUCAAGGAAGAUCUAAACUCUAUAAUACACUAUUAAUUUUGUUUCAACUGUCAGUUACCUUUUAAAGAGAUUUCAAUAAAUAAUAAAAAAUCAUAGCUUUACUUUUACAGUUACCAUUUCUGGUGUUCUUCAUAUUCCUUUGUGUGGAUCCAUAUUUCCAUCUAUUAUCAUUUUCCUUCUGCCUGAAGGACUUGCUUUAACAUGUAGUAUGGGUCACUGGUGGUGACUUCUUCACCUUGUGUAAUUCUGAAAAUUUCUUUAUUUCUGCUUUCAUUUUAUAAAAAGCUUUAUUGAGAUAUGAUUCAUAUAUACAAUUCACCC